rnacentral:rRNA from 1 species
CGUAGGGUGCAAGCGUUAAUCGGAAUUACUGGGCGUAAAGCGUGCGCAGGCGGUUAUGCAAGACAGAUGUGAAAUCCCCCGGGCUCAACCUGGGAACUGCAUUUGUGACUGCAUAGCUAGAGUACGGUAGAGGGGGAUGGAAUUCCGCGUGUAGCUGUGAAAUGCGUAGAUAUGCGGAGGAACACCGAUGGCGAAGGCAAUCCCCUGGACCUGUACUGACGCUCAUGCACGAAAGCGUGGGGAGCAAACAGGAUUAGAUACCCUGGUAGUCCACGCCCUAAACGAUGUCAACUGGUUGUUGGGAGGGUUUCUUCUCAGUAACGAAGCUAACGCGUGAAGUUGACCGCCUGGGGAGUACGGCCGCAAGGUUG